UUUAACAUCACUCAUUCACAUUCUGUAAUCGUCUAAUAGUAAUACUUAAAUCAAUAAUUAAUUAGUAGCAUAAAACUACGUACACGGAACUUUGAUAAGGUACAAAAAUUUACGAAUCGUUUCUAAAUUUUCUGUAGUAUCCAAUGAUUGAAACUUCAGUAUUCAGAUAAAAAAAAAAAGAACAAACACGAUGGAUGGAGUGAAAUCUUGGAAGUGAAAAAUUUGCAAGCAUUAUUUAUUUGAGUGCAUACACCAAACAAAACCAGUCAUGUCUAUUUAUAUAUAGUUUUGGC
rnacentral:lncRNA from 1 species